UACGGAGGGAGCUAGCGUUGUUCGGAUAUACUGGGCGUAAAGCGCACGUAGCGGGCGCCGUAAGUCAGGGGUGAAAUCCCGGAGCUCAACUCCGGAACUGCCCUUGAAACUGCAGUGCUAGAAUCUUGGAGAGGCGAGUGGAAUUCCGAGUGUAGAGGUGAAAUUCGUAGAUAUUCGGAAGAACACCAGUGGCGAAGGCGACUCGCUGGACAAGUAUUGACGCUGAGGUGCGAAAGCGUGGGGAGCAAACAGG
rnacentral:rRNA from 1 species